GACUCUUAGCGGUGGAUCACUCGGCUCGUGCGUCGAUGAAGAACGCAGCUAGCUGCGAGAACUAAUGUGAAUUGCAGGACACAUUGAUCACUUCGAACGCACCUUGCGGCCCCGGGUUCAUCCCGGGGCUACGCCUGUCUGAGUGUCG
ensembl:rRNA 5_8S_rRNA 5.8S ribosomal RNA